rnacentral:rRNA from 1 species
CAGGGGGAUAGCCUCUCGAAAGUGAGAUUAACACCGCAUAAUAUCAACAGUUCGCAUGUUCGGUUGAUUAAAUAUUUAUAGGAUAGAGAUGGGCUCGCGUGACAUUAGCUAGUUGGUAGGGUAACGGCUUACCAAGGCGACGAUGUCUAGGGGCUCUGAGAGGAGAAUCCCCCACACUGGUACUGAGACACGGACCAGACUCCUACGGGAGGCAGCAGUAAGGAAUAUUGGUCAAUGGGCGGAAGCCUGAACCAGCCAUGCCGCGUGCAGGAUGACUGCCCUAUGGGUUGUAAACUGCUUUUGUCCAGGAAUAAACCUAAAUACGUGUAUUUAGCUGAAUGUACUGGAAGAAUAAGGAUCGGCUAACUCCGUGCCAGCAGCCGCGGUAAUACGGAGGAUCCGAGCGUUAUCCGGAUUUAUUGGGUUUAAAGGGUGCGUAGGCGGCCUAUUAAGUCAGGGGUGAAAUACGGUGGCUCAACCAUCGCAGUGCCUUUGAUACUGAUGGGCUUGAAUCCAUUUGA